CCCCGUGGCUCAGUUGGUAGAGCAUAGAGCAUGGUGUUUGCAACGCCAGGGUUGUGGGUUCGAUUCCCACGGGGG
rnacentral:tRNA from 1 species